rnacentral:pre_miRNA from 1 species
AAACUACUCCCUCCGUCCGAAAAUACUUGUCAUCAAAAUGGACAAAAAAGGAUGUAUCUAGAACUAAAAUACGUCUAGAUACAUCCCCUUUUAUCCAUUUUGAUGACAAGUAUUUUCGGACGGAGGGAGUAGUUU